rnacentral:ncRNA from 2 species
AAUAAUAAAUAAAGUACAGGUUUAAUUACAUUUAAUUAAUUAAAAGGGAAUCAAGUGAAAUUCUUGGACGGUCCCGCCACUGUAAUAGAUGAAUUUAAAUACAAUAAGGUAUCUGAAAAUAAAUAACCAGUGAAAGAUAAGGUUAGUUAUUUUUUACGAUGCCUAAACCACUGGGAAACUGGGAAGGUGUAUUUUAAAUAAUGAGUCUUUAGUCAGGAUACCUGCCUGUAUUUUUCGCCAUGU